GCGGCACGCUUCAUACAUGCAAGUCGAGGGGCAGCAUAAAUUACUUGUAAUUUGAUGGCGACCGGCGAACGGGUGCGUAACGCGUAUGCAACUUACCUUUUACUAGAGAAUAGCCAAGAGAAAUUUUGAUUAAUGCUCUAUACUCUUAUUAACUCACAUGAGUUUUUAAGAAAAGCUCCGGCGGUAAAAGAUGGGCAUGCGUCCUAUUAGCUUGUAGGUGAGGUAACGGCUCACCUAAGCUCCGAUAGGUAGGGGUCCUGAGAGGGAGAUCCCCCACACUGGUACUGAGACACGGACCAGACUUCUACGGAAGGCAGCAGUAAGGAAUAUUGGACAAUGGAGGAAACUCUGAUCCAGCGAUGCCGCGUGAAGGAAGACGGCCCUAUGGGUUGUAAACUUCUUUUAUACAGGAAUAAACCUAUCCACGUGUGGAUAGCUGAAGGUACUGUAAGAAUAAGGAUCGGCUAACUCCGUGCCAGCAGCCGCGGUAAUACGGAGGAUCCAAGCGUUAUCCGGAAUUAUUGGGUUUAAAGGGUCCGCAGGCUGUUUGUUAAGUCAGGGGUGAAAUCCUACCGCUCAACGGUAGAACUGCCUUUGAUACUGGCAAACUUGAGUUAUUGUGAAGUAGUUAGAAUGUGUAGUGUAGCGGUGAAAUGCAUAGAUAUUACACAGAAUACCGAUUGCGAAAGCAGAUUACUAACAAUUAACUGACGCUGAGGGACGAAAGCGUGGGUAGCGAACAGGAUUAGAUACCCUGGUAGUCCACGCCGUAAACGAUGGUCACUAGCUGUUCGAUGUACAUUGGUACAUUGAGUGGCUAAGCGAAAGUGAUAAGUGACCCACCUGGGGAGUACGCU
rnacentral:rRNA from 1 species